ACCUGUGGUAGUUUUCUUCCUGGCUGUAUGUUGUUUUCAGAUGAACCUGACACCAUCAGUCAUAAAGGAGCUGGCAGUAGCCAGAGGACAGAAUGCUGACCAGAGCCAUUCCCACUCAAGAGUAUGGCUUUCACCAAA